rnacentral:rRNA from 1 species
UACAGAGGGUGCAAGCGUUAAUCGGAAUUACUGGGCGUAAAGCGUGCGUAGACGGUUACAUAAGUCGGGUGUGAAAGCCCCGGGCUCAACCUGGGAAUUGCAUUCGAGACUGCGUAGCUAGGGUGCGGAAGAGGGAAGCGGAAUUUCCGGUGUAGCGGUGAAAUGCGUAGAUAUCGGAAGGAACACCAGUGGCGAAAAGCGGCUUCCUGGUCCAGCACCGACGUUCAGGCACGAAAGCGUGGGGAGCAAACAGG